CUGAGAGAAGGCCGGCUCCUGUGCUCUGCACUCUGGCCCAGGGCUGCUGUUCCGCUGGCUGACGCCCUGUCCCCACCCCAGCAUGUCCUGCUUCCAGGCUGCUUGACCCGGCUGGGCUGGGUGCCUCUUCCCCACCCCCGCCCCAGUCUCCCGGGCCCCAUCCCAGCCUGGCCCGUCAUAACUGCCGAUCCCCAGAACUGUCCCUGGUGUGCAGCAGGCAUGCAGGGUGGGCCUGCAGAGCGAGGUCCCAGCACCGGCGGCAUCUGGCGCUGAACACAGGAAGAUGGGACGUUUGCUGAAUGAAUGCACGUCCCUGAUGAGGCCUGGACUUCGACGGAUGAAGGGGCUGGUGGGGUGGAGUCAGGGUUCCCCGAAAGCCCUGGGUGGAGAGGGUCCCCAAAGUGGGGUCAGACAGCCUGUGAGGCUCACAGUCCUGCCCUGCAGCCCUUUGGUUUGGACCAGGUGCCACCUCCCCAUCUCCCUGGCCCCAGCCCUCAGCUAACCAGCCCAUGCCACCGCCUGGAAAUGGGCCAGAGGGCAGUGGCGACCUGCCCAAGUCCACACGCAGGCCACAGGCCACACUCUGAACCCCGGGGCAGGCUCAGACGGGCUUUGCUCAGCCUGCCUUAGGGCAUAGAGGGAGACUGAGUCAGGGCCCUCCCAGGAAGGAUGGGUGUGCGGCCUUCCACGCUCGGGACUUUGGGCCACGAUGUCCACCCCAGGGUCUUCGCAGAGCAGCGGGAAAGGACCCUGCUGGCAGGCACAGUGCCCGUCUCUGCCCCCGGCUCUGCUCCAACCGCCCCCAGCCCAAGGGCGGCACGCCGCAGGGGGUCUGUGAUCCCCCCACGUCCCCGGCUCCUUUCACCCACACACCACACUGGGAGGCGGCAGCCCGAGGGCAGGUUUAUUGACAACCUCACGGGACACAAGCAGGCUGGGGACAGGACGGCGACAGGCUCCGGCGGCGGCGGCGGCGGCGCUACCUGCGGUACCAGAUCUGCAGCCUCCGCUCCCGCUUGAUCUUCCUCUGCAGCUGCAGGAUGCCGUAGAGCAGGGCCUCGGCCGUAGGUGGGCAGCCUGCAGGGACCUUGCCUCAGUCUCGCUUCCCGCAGCCGGAGCCCGCGUGACCGCGUGCACAGCGCAGCCGGCUCGGCUUUGGAAGGGUUUCCCGGGCCGGCCUCUGAAGGUGGAGGCUGACAGCCCUGGGUGGGCGCAGUGCCAGGGACUGGGAGCCGGCGCAGGGGAGGUCCCUGCAGGAAGAGUGGGGUCCUCCCCUGGGCAAGGCCCCACUGCCCUCCACCCGUGGCUCAUCCCGGGCUGUCACAGGGACCUCUCGGACAAGACGCUGACCUCACUAACCCGGCCCCCGGCCCCAGCCCUCAGGACUCAAUGGGGGCCAGCGCUCAGCAGACACACUUAGCAGUGGGGAGCAGGGCCCGGGGCUGCCCUGGACGGAGAUGGAGGCAGGGAGGCUGGGCGGAGGGAGGGGAGGUGGCCCAGAGCCCGGGCAUCCCACGAGGACCCGAUGACCCUCUUUCUGAGCCCCAAGCCAGAGCUCUUUGCUGGGGAUCCCCCAGUCCCGGCUGCCACGCAGGUUCAGAACAAAGGGCUUGAGCAAGAGGACGAAGCCCAGGGCCCAACGGGGACAGCAGGAGUGGAAACAGGUGAGAAAGGACAAGGCCACUGCAGGGCCUGGGAAAGGGCGGCCAGGCCCCACCUGGCAGAGCUCUGGCAAGUCCAGGCUGCUCCAAGGGAGGGAGAAGCACAGUCCGCAGGGAGGGAGCAGCACAGUCCGCAGGGAGGGAGGGAGGAGCGAGGUCCCCAGGGAGGGAGGAGCGCGGUCCGCUGGGAGGGAGGGGCGCGGUCCCCAGGGAGGGCCGAGCGCGGUCCGCAGGGAGGGAGGAGCGCGGUCCCCAGGGAGGGAGGAGCGCGGUCCGCAGGGAGGGAGGGAGGAGCACGGUCCCCAAGGAGGGAGGAGCGCAGUCCCCAGACAGGGAGCACAGUCCGCAGGGAGGGAGGAGCGCGGUCCCCAGGGAGGGAGGAGCUCAGUCUGCAAGGAGGGAGGAGUACAGUCCACACUCGCAACUUGCCCCAUUGGUCUGCACUGCAGGGGAAGACGCCAGGGGCAUGGGCAGAGCUCCUGACCCCAGGAUGGACCUCUCUGUGCUGUCAAGUCACAGGGAGGCCCAGGCUGCCCUCUCCACUGCCCCCGGGGUGACCUGAACCGUGCAGAACGCUGAACAAAUCAACGCCCUUUCCAGGGAAGCGGAAUCCAAAGUCAGAGCCUGUUCCUCCACUUUUGAGAGGCACCAGGAUGUGCCUCUCGCUUGCCCAAACCCCCAGACUCGGGACUCAGGGCUGGGCUCUCUGCGCAUGAGCUAAUGCCGCACGCAGCACAGGGUGGCCAAGAACAGGACUCUGUCCCCUGUCCCACAUGAGCGCCACCUCCAAGCCUGCCUACCGUGGACCACUGUCAAGGUGAACGCCCGGGGGGAUGGCCCUCGUGGGACCACGUGAGGUGCAAGAGUCCCACGGGAUCACCAGAUAUAAAGAAUGUUCCCGGUGCGAUGUGAAUUUCAGGUAUGCAGCCAAUGCUCUUUUUAGUGUCAGUAUAGCCCAAAUAUUGUUGGGAUAUACUCGUACUAAACAAUUACUACUAACAGUUUUCCUGAUGGUCAAAUUCACCCUAACCUCACAGUCAAACUAAGCCUCCCACGUUUUCAUUUGCCAAAUCCGGCCACCCCGGGUCCCAGGGAGUCCUGCGUGCCCUUCUGUAAGGCUGAGGGCGCGGGACAGUGUCCUUGGCCCCCAGGAACCUUCUCGCUUGGUAUUUCUAACUGCAGGUCUUUGGUUUGUGCCAGGUAGGACCAUAUGAAACUGCUGUAAACCAGGCGUGUGUCAGGAAUUCCACUCAGCUUCCCCUGCUCCCUCUGAUCCCUCUGAUGCCUGAAUACAUCGCCGACUUCUCACAGGGGACAGGCUCCACUAAGAGGCAGCGCUCCGAGUCGGCCCAUCCAUAGGAUGGGGGAGCCCGCCGUCUGCUGGGGGUGUGGGACUCCCUCACAGGGGCCGCCGGGCUCCGUGUGGCGCUGGCCCUGUCUCCAGCUCCCUCGUGGGCGGUGCGGUCCCGGCCCUACCUGGGAUGUAGAUGUCCACGGGCACGAUGCGGUCGCAGCCCCUCACCACCGAGUAGGAAUAGUGGUAGUAGCCUCCUCCGUUGGCGCAGCUGUUGGGGAGGCACCGUGAGGGGAGUGUGCCGAAGACCCGCCUGCCCACCCUCCCUCCACGAGGCCUCGCCCCAUCCCCACCCGCCUUCAACUGCAGGCCAGGCACCUACGAGGCUGGAACUUGUCACGGAGAAGCAAUGAGCAAACACGCACAGGCUCCCAGAGCCUCUGUGGGACCAGUGGGGCGCAAGCUCACACGUGGCUGAUAACUCGGGGAAAAGUGCUCCCCUCCCGAGGGGGCUCCUGACCACCGAUUCCCGGGGCUGGGAUGUGUCAGAUCACAUGUGUCAACAAAAAGCCACUUCAGACAGCCACAGUGCCAACACCCAGCCCCUGUCUAUGGGGCGGCUGAGCCUCACCCUCGCCUGAUUCCGGCUCUGUCAGUGAGGCGCUGGGGUCCACCCGGGGCAGGGAGCUGGAAACCCCAGGAGACCACACAGACUCCACUCCCAGCACUGCUUCCCACAGCCGUAAAAAUGGACAUACCCUGAAUGCCCAGCAGUGGGAGACGGUUAUGAAAACUCUGGAAUAUUCUAAUUAACUGUUUAGAAUUAGAUUAGUAAUAUGUCCACACAGUGGGAUAUUAUUCAGCCAAGAAAAGGCACGAGGCUCGGACACAGGCCACAGCACGGAUGCACCUUGAGGACGUCGCGCUCAGUGAGAGACGCCGGACACAGAAGGCCAUGCGGCGUGUGAUCCUGUUUCUGUGAAAUGUCCAGGACGGGCCCAUCCACAGAGACAGGGAGGGGAGGUGUGGGCACCGGGGCUCGGAAGGGGAUGCAGAGUGACUGCUGAUGGGGACAGCAUUUCAUUUGGGGGUGAUGAGAAUGUUCUGGAAUUAGAGGUGGUGGCCUAAAAACCACUGAACUGCUCGCUUUAAAAGGGUAAACUUAUCAAGACCUGAUCUCUACAGAAAUUUUAAAAAGUAGGCACAGUGGAGUACAUCUGUAAUCCCAGCACUCUGAGAGGCUAAGGUUGGGGGACCGCUUGAGCCCAGGAGGUCAAGGCUGCAGUGAGCUAUGACUGCACCACUGCACUCCAGCCUGGGCAACUCAGUGAGACUCUGUCUCU
rnacentral:lncRNA from 1 species